rnacentral:rRNA from 1 species
CCUACGGGAGGCAGCAGUAGGGAAUCUUUCACAAUGGGCGAAAGCCUGAUGGAGCAACGCCGCGUGCAGGAUGAAGGCCUUCGGGUUGUAAACUGCUUUUAUAAGCGAGGAAUAUGAUGUUAACUUAUGAGUAAGAAUCUGCUAACUACGUGCCAGCAGCCGCGGUCAUACGUAGGAUCCGAGCAUGAUGCGGAGUGACUGGGUGUAAAGAGUUGCGUAGGUGGGAUACGAAGUAGCUAGUGAAAUGUGGUGGCUCAACCAUUCAGAAUAUUAGCUAAACUGUUAAGCUCGAGACCGUUAGAGGUAAGUGGAAUUCCUAGUGUAGGAGUGAAAUGCGUAGAUAUUAGAAGGAACACCAAUAGCGUAGGCAGGUUGCUGGGACGGUUCUGACACUAAGGCACGAAAGCGUAGGGAGCAAACGGGAUUAGAUACCCGGGUAGUC